AUUGAACGCUGGCGGCAGGCCUAACACAUGCAAGUCGAGCGAGCGGCGGACGGGUGAGUAAUGUAUGGGGACUGCCCGACAGAGGGGGGUAACUCCUGGAAACGGUAGCUAAUACCGCAUACUAUCGGAUAACCCAUAUGGGAUUGGCUAGUAGGUGAGGUAAUGGCUCACCUAGGCGACGCUCCCUAGCUGGUCUGAGAGGAUGAUCAGCCAAACUGGAACUGAGAAACGGCCCAGACUCCUAGGGAGGCAGAAGUGGGGAUUAUGGCACAAGGGGGAAAAGCCGGAUGAAGCCAGGCCGCGUGUAUGAAGAAGGCCCUAGGGUUGUAAAGUACUUUCAGACGGGAGGCGUUACCGACAGAGGAAGCAACGGCUAACUCCGUGCCAGCAGCCGCGGUAAUUC
rnacentral:rRNA from 1 species